GGCCUGCUAGCUCAGUCGGUAGAGCGUCGUGCUAAUAACGCGAAGGUCGUAGGUUCGAUCCCUGCGCAGGCCA
rnacentral:tRNA from 1 species